AUUGAACGCUGGCGGAAUGCUUUACACAUGCAAGUCGAACGGCAGCACGGACUUCAGUCUGGUGGCGAGUGGCGAACGGGUGAGUAAUGUAUCGGAACGUGCCCAGUCGUGGGGGAUAACGUAGUGAAAAUUACGCUAAUACCGCAUACGAUCUAUGGAUGAAAGCGGGGGAUCGCAAGACCUCGCGCGAUUGGAGCGGCCGAUAUCAGAUUAGGUAGUUGGUGGGGUAAAGGCCCACCAAGCCAACGAUCUGUAGCUGGUCGGAGAGGACGACCAGCCACACGGGAACUGAGACACGGUCCAGACUCCUACGGGAGGCAGCAGUGGGGAAUUUUGGACAAUGGGAGAAAGCCUGAUCCAGCCAUUCCGCGUGCAGGAUGAAGGCCCUCGGGUUGUAAACUGCUUUUGUACAGAACGAAAAGGUUUCUACUAAUACUAGGAGCUCAUGACGGUACUGUAAGAAUAAGCACCGGCUAACUACGUGCCAGCCGCCGCUGUAA
rnacentral:rRNA from 1 species